GACGAACGCUGGCGGCGUGCCUAAAACAUGCAAGUCGAACGAGGGCUUCGGCCCUAGUGGCGAACGGCGGAGUAAUACGUGAACAACGUGCCCCUAAGUCCGGGACAAACGCAGAAAUGCCAUAAAUACCGGAUGUGACCAGGAUGAUGCAUAUCAAUCUGAUUAAAGGUUUUUCGCUUAGGGAGCGGUUCACGGCCUAUCAGCUAGUUGGCGGGGUAAAAGCCCACCAAGGCGACGACGGGUAGGGGGUCUAAGAGGAUGAUCCCCCCGAGUGGGACUGAGACACGGCCCACACACCUACGGGAGGCAGCAGUGGGGAAUUUUGGAAAUGGGCGCAAGCCUGAUCCAGCAAUGCCGCGUGCAGGAUGAAGGCCUUCGGGUUGUAAACUGCUUUUGUACGGAGCGAAAAGGCUUCCACUAAUACUGGGGGCUCAUGACGGUACCGUAAGAAUAAGCACCGGCUAAC
rnacentral:rRNA from 1 species